rnacentral:lncRNA from 1 species
UCUAGUUGUGUGAGGUAUUUCUUCGUCUCAUUAUCCAUUAAAGUAGAACUAGGACUCACACUCAUUUUUUAUCCUUCGACAUACUUCAAGCAUGAAUAGCCUUUUUUUCUACUACUUGUAUGCUUAUGCAUCUAAACCUCCUAUAGAUCGAACUCGGAUCUCUCAAAAGAAAGAAAAAAUGAUGGAAAGAUUAUAAAAGUAGAGCUUAAAUCCCCUAUUCUUUCAUUAAUUAAUUUUUUAUAUCAUAAAUUGAGAUAUCUAGCCCCUAUUUAUAAUAGUAAGAUCCAUCC